UAAUACAUGUGGGGCAAGCGUUGUUCGGAAUUACUGGGCAUAAAGGGUGCGUAGGCGGCGGUAUAAGUCAGCGGUGAAAUCCUUCGGCCCAACCGGAGAACUGCCGUUGAUACUGUACUGCUUGAGUGCGUGAGGGGUGGCUGGAACGAGUGGUGUAGCGGUGAAAUGCGUAGAUAUCACUCGGAACACCCAAGGCGAAGGCAGGCCACUGGCACGCAACUGACGCUGAGGCACGAAAGCGUGGGGAGCAAACAGG
rnacentral:rRNA from 1 species